rnacentral:rRNA from 1 species
CUGCCCCGGGUUUUUUUUUAUAUAUAAUAAAAAAAAAUAUACUAAAGUUCGGUAGGUGACCUGCGGAAGGAUCAUU